UAAUGAUGAGAUUAGAAACGCUGAUUAUAACUCUCUUGAAAAAAAAUUUGAAAACUACCUUCUUUCCCCUACUGACU
rnacentral:snoRNA from 1 species